CUGACUUCCGGGUGACGCCUUAAUAAAGCCUCAACUUGGUGUCCCUGAAUUAACUCAGCAAGAAUGACCAGGAAGAUGCUGAGUUGUGGUGAGGUGUUGAGUUUGUGUGUGACGAGAGAGACAGCAGCGACGGACCCGUGAUCUAGGGAACCACAACUACCGUCCCUUCUUUGAUCACAUCAAACCUGUUUGCCUCCCAUAAAGUCAUGACUGUAGCCAAAGUUUGGAAGUUACUGAGGCAGCCAGUUGGAAGGCCCACACCAGAAAACUUCAUCUGUGUGGAGGAGCAGCUGCCACCAUGUGAUGAUGGAGAUGUUAUAACUGAAGCUGAAUAUCUAAGUGUGGACCCUUACAUGAGAUACAAAAUUCGACAGAUCCCUCUCAACUCCACCAUGGUGGGCUCACAAGUUGCCAGGUUAGUUAAGUUUCUCUACAUUUACUUAA